rnacentral:rRNA from 1 species
UACGUAGGGUGCAAGCGUUGUCCGGAAUUAUUGGGCGUAAAGGGCGCGUAGGUGGCCUGAUAAGGGUGUGGUGAAAGUCCGGGGCUCAACCCCGGAUCUGCCGUGCCGACUGUUGGGCUGGAGUACUGUAGGGGCAGGCGGAAUUCCGGGUGUAGCGGUGGAAUGCGUAGAGAUCCCCAAGAACACCAGUUGCGAAGGCGGCUGACUGGACACAUAUUGACGCUGAGGCUCGAAAGCAUGGGGAGCAAACAGG